CUGAGCCCAGGGCUUGGGUACCGUGGGAGGCGCGCUCGGAUGACGUCAUGUACCCCCGGCGCUUGCAUGACAUCAACUCCAGCGCAGAAGAGGGCUCAGCCUGCCCGCAGAAACAUGACUUUGAGCACCAGUUGUGUGCUGGGCAUGAUUACUGUUCAUUGAAGAAUGAAGUGAGAUCUAGGAGAUAUGGUGCAGCUAGGAGUCAGACUUGAUUGAAACUCGGCCCUGCUCCUGACUUGCUGAAUGAUCCAGGGGCCCAUUUUCCUCAUCUGUAAAAUGGAGACAGUAAUAUCUAUUGCCAAUAAUAUGCCAAGAACCUGCCUGCCAGUGCAGGAGAUGUAAGAGGAAUCAAACCUGGGUCGGGAAGAUCCCCUGGAGGAGGCAUGGCAACCCGCUCCAGAAUUUUUGCCUGGAGAAUUUCAUGGACAAAAAAUUCCACGGAGGAGCCUGGCAGGCUACAGUCCAUGGAGUCAUGAAGAGCCGGACACAACUGAGCCACUGACACUUUGACUUUCACUAAAGAUCAUCACCACAUCAUAAGGAGAUCAUCUGAGUGCCCACCCCAUGACUGACUCCAUAAGCACGAGAUGACUUCAUCCUCAAAUCCUGAAGGUAAGUUCUCUUAGCAAUCGCCAUCAUACAGUCGAGGAAGCUGAUGCUCAGAGAGGUUAAGUCACUUGCAGGGGUCACACAGCUAAGGAGAGGCAUGGUUGGGCUUCAAACUCAGUUCUGUCUGGUCCCAAACCUGGCUUCCAAGCUGUACAGAGUGCAAAGCAGCGUAAAUGACAUUUGUCUUUCGCACCCGGUGACACUGAAUUCAUAAUCAGCAGGCCCACACAAGGUGAGCCAUCCUGGGCAGAUGGAUAUCAAAUGCCUGCCGCCAGUGUGAGUGCUCCCUGGGUAAUGGCCAGGGUGGAGAUUUCCCAGUCCCUGGCAUGGAUCCCCACCUGCAGCCCAUGGGAAGGUCCUCAGGAGAUUUCUGGGGGCAGAGGCAGGCCUUCCAGCUGCAGAUCAGCCUGGGAUGGGCUCAGGACUCUGCAGGAGUAGCUGGGCAUUCGUCUUCCCCUGGCUGUGGGCAUCUCUCCAAGAGUGACAGGAGAGCUAUUUCAGAACAGGCAGGGGGCCUCAGUCCAGUCUGCCCAAACACGCACCCCUCAGAUGACUGCCUGGCCCCAGAGUGCAAGGACUGAGCCAACAAGACCUCCACAGCCAUCUGGGGCUCCCAGCAGAAUGGAUGCAGGUGUGACUCCUGUGCCCCGUUCACACCAGUCACGCUCGGUUCCGGUCCCCUGAUGCUCCCACUGGAAUCACUUCCUUCCCCACUGCCACCCUGUCCACAGAAGGACUGCUCAAGGAAGGACUUGCCUGGGCUGAAAUUUUGGCUGAGUUCCAGGGAGCUGGCUUGGUCUGAUUGGGUGGCGAGGAUGGGGGAGGGGGAGGAGGUAAGGGGAAGCGGCUGCAGGUGUGGAGGGAGAGGGAGGAGGUGGGGGUGCACAGUGGCCAAGUGGUCAGGGCGGGGUGUGGACAGAUAGGCUAGGGAAAGAUGGAGCAGAAAGGGGCUCUGAGGCCAGAAAAGGGAGGCGGGCAGCAUGCAUCCCCGGACUGGAGGGAAGAAAAGCAUCAGAAUAUUUAGAGCAGAGAAGCAGAGCCGAGUGGGUUGUGUGUGUGUGUUAGUCACUCAGUCGUGUCCAACUCUAUGUGACCCCAUGGACUGUAGCCCGCCAGGCUCCUCUGUCCAUGGGAUUCUCCAGGCAAGAAGACUGGAGUGGGUUGCCAUGCCCUCCUCCAUGGAAUCUUCCCAACCCAGGAACUGAACCUAGGUCUCCUGCAUUGCAGACAGAGUCUUUACCCUCUGAGCCACAAGGGAAGCCUGAGGGGAGUUAUAAAAUGGUUAUUGAUCAAAGCCAUUGGGUGGGAGGGGCUGGGGGUCCCCAGUUUGAGGGCGGAGAUGCCCCAGUUUGGGGAUAAGUGCUGUCUGAGUAUGUCUGGCUGGCAGGAAACGAGGUAGGGCCAGGGUGCUGGGUUUCGGCUCUAGUGUCUGUGGGCGCAGAGAGCAGCUGCAGGGCGCUCAGCCCCGGAGCCCCAGCGCUGUCCUGGCAGCUAGAAGUCUGAGGUGUUCUGGUGGUGAGGAUGUUCAACUGUCUGUUUACAGUCCCUGUGACUUGCAUAGCACUCAACCUGCUCAGCCCUUAGCACACGUUAUGUCAUUUAAUCACCCAAGCCUCCUGCAGACAGGGAAAGAGGCCACGACCCUGGUCUCCUCCCAGGUAAUAAGUGGAGGGACCAGGGUUGGGACCUGGGUCAUUCCUUUGGGCGUGUCACCUGGUGUCCAUGGACCUGGGUCAUUCCUCUGGGCAUGUCACCUGGUGUCCAUGGACCUGGGUCAUUCCUCUGGGCGUGUCACCUGGUGUCCAGGGACCUGGGUCUUUCCUCUGGACGUGUCACCUGGUGUCCAUGGACACCAUGGAGUCCUCCAUGGUGUCCAUGGAGGGGGCAGGAGCUGAGGUGGGGGCUGCAGCUGCUGGGGACAGUGGAUGCCAGCCAGCUGGUCCCAUUGGCCAGGACCCUGCUUCUCUCAUGGGGCAGCAUGGUAAGGUAUUCUGAAUCAGUAGGAGGGUGGACAGGGAGUGUGAGUAAAAGUGGGAGUGAGUAUGUGUGGGUAAGUGUGAGCAUGCCGCUGUGAGGUGUGUGAGUGUGGGAUGGCCCUCUGCUCUGGGGCUGGACCAGCCAGGAGACAGGAGCCCCUUGGAGUCUGGCAGGGACAGGAAGUUGCUCACCCUCCGUGUAUGCAGCAGCUCUCCUGGGCGGGGACAGGAUGCUGUGGUCUCUGCAGAAAAACGGGAACCAGAGAGGGAGUAGAGGAGGCAAUGGCUGAGAGGGUGGAUGGGACAUAGGCCUGGAGAGGACGGGGGAGUCCAGGGGAUGGGAUGCUUGAAAGGUGAAGAAACUUUGGAAAUGCUCCAAAACACUGAAGAAAGAGGGGAAGACUUUGUCUUACGUCUCUGGAGAUUCACUGGGGGACAAAUUAAGUCCCCGCCCCCAUGGAACUGACUUGCCCCUCUGUCAGCCUGGCCUCUCCAGCUUUCUUACCUCCUGGGUUCCUCUCCAUGCACCCUAACUGCCAACCCACACCCUGGGGCCCCAGGUCUGGAGUGUUCCACCCUCUGCUCUGUCAGCAGGAAUCCUGCCCAUUUUGGAAGAUGUAGCUGGUGCUUCAUGGCUGAGAAGGCUUCCCACUUGUGGCACAAGGGGUUUCUCCCUCGUGGUCCAGGCAGCUCAUUCCUAAGACCUUAGCUCCCCAACUCUGCUGGGGAGUCUUUCAAUUCUCCUCACCCUCUGUGACAACCUGUCAAAAGCGGCAGGGCUGGACUCACAGGGUUUUAUUUACUGCUAACA